UACGGAGGGGGCUAGCGUUGCUCGGAAUUACUGGGCGUAAAGGGCUCGUAGGCGGUCUGAUAAGUCCUGUGUGAAAUCCCCUGGCUUAACCAGGGAACUGCGCCGGAUACUGUCGGACUAGAGGCCGGGAGAGGGAAGCGGAAUUCCCAGUGUAGCGGUGAAAUGCGUAGAUAUUGGGAGGAACACCGGUGGCGUAGGCGGCUUCCUGGACCGGUUCUGACGCUAAAGAGCGAAAGCUAGGGUAGCAAACAGGA
rnacentral:rRNA from 1 species